UACGGGGGGAGCAAGCGUUGUUCGGAUUUACUGGGCGUAAAGGGCGCGUAGGCGGCCACCGCAAGUCGACUGUGAAAUCUCCGGGCUUAACCCGGAAAGGUCAGCCGAUACUGCGGGGCUAGAGUGCAGAAGGGGCAACUGGAAUUUACGGUGUAGCAGUGAAAUGCGUAGAUAUCGUAAGGAAGACCGGUGGCGAAGGCUAGUCUCUGGACAGUUACUGACACUGAGGCACGAAGGCCAGGGGAGCAAACGGG
rnacentral:rRNA from 1 species